CAGUCGCCACGGGAAUACAGAGGGUGCGAGCGUUAAUCGGAUUUACUGGGCGUAAAGCGUGCGUAGGCGGCUUCUUAAGUCGGAUGUGAAAUCCCUGAGCUUAACUUAGGAAUUGCAUUCGAUACUGGGAAGCUAGAGUAUGGGAGAGGAUGGUAGAAUUCCAGGUGUAGCGGUGAAAUGCGUAGAGAUCUGGAGGAAUACCGAUGGCGAAGGCAGCCAUCUGGCCUAAUACUGACGCUGGGGUACGAAAGCAUGGGGAGCAAACAGGAUUAGAUACCCCAGUAGUCCCUGUCUCUUAUAC
rnacentral:rRNA from 1 species